rnacentral:misc_RNA from 1 species
AAGUGAGGACAUGUUUGUGUCCGCCUGUCUUGUGCAACGUUUAUUGUGGGAUUCUGGCACAUUUUGUGUGUGCCAGAUGCCAUUUUUUUAAUCCAUUUCAUUUUAUUACUGUAUUCUAACGACAAUCAAAAAGAACCUUGA